UACGUAGGGUGCAAGCGUUGAUCGGAAUUACUGGGCGUAAAGCGUGCGCAGGCGGCUUUGCAAGUCAGAUGUGAAAUCCCCGGGCUUAACCUGGGAACUGCAUUUGUGACUGCAUGGCUGGAGUGCGGCAGAGGGGGAUGGAAUUCCGCGUGUAGCAGUGAAAUGCGUAGAUAUGCGGAGGAACACCGAUGGCGAAGGCAAUCCCCUGGGCCUGCACUGACGCUCAGGCACGAAAGCGUGGGGAGCAAACAGG
rnacentral:rRNA from 1 species